GGGCGAGCUGCUGGUGUGCGAGGUUCAGGUGCACAGCGGUAGUUUGCUGGGCAAGAAGUACAACUGGAGCUGCGACGACCUGAUGGGUGGCGGUGGCCUGCACUCCGUGGGCACCUACAUCAUCGAUCUGCUUACCUUCCUCACGGGCCAGAAGGCUGUCAAAGUCCAUGGGUUGCUCAAGACCUUUGUCAAGCAGACAGACCACAUCAAGGGCAUCCGUCAGAUCACCAGCGAUGACUUCUGCACCUUUCAGAUGGUGCUGGAGGGUGGAGUGUGCUGCACCGUCACCCUGAACUUCAACGUGCCUGGAGAGUUCAAGCAGGACGUGACCGUGGUGGGCUCCGCUGGGCGGCUCCUGGCAGCGGGCACC
rnacentral:lncRNA from 1 species